AGCAGGGGAUCACUUGUGACCUUGCGCUAAUAGAUGAGCCUAAGUCGGAUUAGCUAGUUGGUGGGGUAAAGGCCUACCAAGGCGACGAUCUGUAGCGGGUCUGAGAGGAUGAUCCGCCACACUGGGACUGAGACACGGCCCAGACUCCUACGGGAGGCAGCAGUGGGGAAUAUUGGACAAUGGGGGGAACCCUGAUCCAGCCAUGCCGCGUGUGUGAAGAAGGCCUUAUGGUUGUAAAGCACUUUAAGCGAGGAGGAGGCUCUUUUGGUUAAUACCCAAAAUGAGUGGACGUUACUCGCAGAAUAAGCACCGGCUAACUCUGUGCCAGCAGCCGCGGUAAUACAGAGGGUGCAAGCGUUAAUCGGAUUUACUGGGCGUAAAGCGCGCGUAGGCGGCCAAUUAAGUCAAAUGUGAAAUCCCCGAGCUUAACUUGGGAAUUGCAUUCGAUACUGGUUGGCUAGAGUGUGGGAGAGGAUGGUAGAAUUCCAGGUGUAGCGGUGAAAUGCGUAGAGAUCUGGAGGAAUACCGAUGGCGAAGGCAGCCAUCUGGCCUAACACUGACGCUGAGGUGCGAAAGCAUGGGGAGCAAACAGGAUUAGAUACCCUGGUAGUCCAUGCCGUAAACGAUGUCUACUAGCCGUUGGGGCCUUUGAGGCUUUAGUGGCGCAGCUAACGCGAUAAGUAGACCGCCUGGGGAGUACGGUCGCAAGACUAAAACUCAAAUGAAUUGACGGGGGCCCGCACAAGCGGUGGAGCAUGUGGUUUAAUUCGAUGCAACGCGAAGAACCUUACCUGGCCUUGACAUAGUAGAAACUUUCCAGAGAUGGAUUGGUGCCUUCGGGAAUCUACAUACAGGUGCUGCAUGGCUGUCGUCAGCUCGUGUCGUGAGAUGUUGGGUUAAGUCCCGCAACGAGCGCAACCCUUUUCCUUACUUGCCAGCAUUUCGGAUGGGAACUUUAAGGAUACUGCCAGUGACAAACUGGAGGAAGGCGGGGACGACGUCAAGUCAUCAUGGCCCUUACGGCCAGGGCUACACACGUGCUACAAUGGUCGGUACAAAGGGUUGCUACCUAGCGAUAGGAUGCUAAUCUCAAAAAGCCGAUCGUAG
rnacentral:rRNA from 1 species